rnacentral:siRNA from 1 species
AGUGCAAUAACUGUUCUUCGUGGA